UGGGGAAUAUUGGACAAUGGGCGCAACUGNAUCCAGCCAUGCCGCGUGUGUGAAGAAGGCCUUAUGGUUGUAAAGCACUUUAAGCGAGGAGGAGGCUACUUUAGUUAAUACCUAGAGAUAGUGGACGUUACUCGCAGAAUAAGCACCGGCUAACUCUGUG
rnacentral:rRNA from 1 species